GAGGGUAUGCUCCAUUUUGCAAUGGUUUGCAAUGAGAGAUGAUGCUUCCCGAUCACUUGUGAUCGUUUGUAGCCUAUGACUUUUAAUCAGAGGGUCCUGGGUUCGAGUCCCAGCGCGCUCACCA
rnacentral:tRNA from 1 species